GAUAGGAAACUAUGUACAUAACUAUGUUACAUAUGUCUAAUCCUUAUGUCGGUAAGGUAGAUUUCCAUAUCCCUUAUUCAUAAUUACAUAGUUUCUUUUAUUUUAAGUCUUGGGUCAGCAUAGAACGUAACGAUAUAGUAGUAAGGAAAAAAGCAAAAUGCAUAAUAUAAAUCACUAAAGAUUUUUUUUACUAUAAUUGUCGUUUUUAUUAUCAUAUUUUAUAGUAAUAAAGUUUAUGUAAAGGUAAAAAACAAAUAAUCUUGAAUCAGCAAACAUUCAAAAUUAUUAAUCAAGAAGCAAGAACAAGUGAUAUUUCCAUAUUGUGACUUGUAAUUAAAUUGUUAAAAUAAAUGUGGAAGAAAAUAAAGGAGAAAACGAGAAAUAUGGAGCAAACAAAAGAAGAAAAAGUGCGAAAGAAAAAAAGAUUUAAAAAAAAGAGAAAAGGAACUAAUUUUAUAGGAAUAUGCAGCGAAGAUUAUUUAGUUACAUAAAUAGUGUUUCGAAGCAGUUAUCCGGAAUUUAUUUGAAAUUAAAUACUGUGGAGAAUUUAAAAAGAAUUGAAAUUCAGUCAAAAGAAAAUCAACUAAUAAAUUAAAGUAAAAUGGAAAACGUUGUAUUGUAAAUAUCUAUCGAUAAUAUCGUGAGAAUAUAAUAAAAUUAUUGAUAGAAUGAAAAGGAUAAUAUAAUAAAUAUUAUUAUUGAAACUUAUUUAUUUGUUGAAUAUAUUAAUGCCAUAAUUCGGCAACGUAUCAAAGCAAAUAAUUCAAAUGUACUUAAGAGCACAUAAGGACUGAAAAUGUAAUUAAAUGAAAUUUUGAAUAAAUAAGGACUAAAACAGUUUUUAAUAAGACAAGAUGGAAAGUUCUGUUAGAUCACUCACAUAGCUUUCAAAGUUCUUAGAACAUAAUAUUUGGCAUUUCUUGGUGAUAAAAAAUAAUAAAAAACAAGUAAACAACAAAUAAACACUUACAGUUGUAAUAAAUACUAUUGAAGAAAAAUCUAUUUUGUGUUAUUAUAAUAUAUUUUUAACAAUAAGGUAAUGUAGUAGUAAUGCAUAUAAAAUUAAGUAAUAUAUUUUAUAGAAACGGACAAAAAUUUUUAAAUAAAUUUUGAAUUAACUAUUAAAAGAAUUGUCUACUUUGAUACUAAAGACUCUUUAUUAAAAGAUUUUACACUUUAUGUUCAUAACAAAACAAUUCUGAUCAUAAUAUUUUAAAAAUUUAUGUAGUAAUUUUAUUUUUGUUUUAUUAGAUCCUAAAUAAAUAUUCUUGAUUUUAUUUUUCUGCAUCUACAAAAUAUAGAUUGAAUAAAACAGCCAAAAUAUCUAAAUAAACAUUACUAGUGGAUUACAUUAUGUAAAAUUAUUUGCAUGUUGUUAUGCAAACUGUUUCUCAUCAUCGUUACUGGAAGAUAAGCUAAACUGAUUAAUACAUCGAAUUAAAAAUAUGGUAAUUGGCUUUUGUCAAAAAAGAGAUUUAAAGCUUUUUUAAAGUAAAAAAAACAUUUUUGUAUUAAAAAUGCUUUUUUUUAUGAAAAAAGAAAUGUUUCUAUAAAAAGUAUUUGUUAAUGAUCAUAGAUUGUCAAAACUUGUAAGUCAAAUUCAGGCAAGUAACAAUAAAUACAGAUCACUUUGAUGCAUUUGGUAAAUGAAAAUAGGCAUUGUUACUUAUAGCAUAUGUAAAAUUACACUAGAGAAGAUGAUGAACAAUUUUUUUCAUUUUCUCAUUUAUGAAAACAGGAGACUCUAUUAUAUGUAAAGAUAUUAUUUAAAAGACCAACAUUUAAAUGAUACAAAAUUUUGAAAUAUCCAAAGCAAUACGCAAUACUUUUAUCUAUUGAUUUACAUUUCUUUACUUUGAAAAUCUUUUUGCAGAUGUUUCAAUAAUCAUAGGAUAACUCUAACGAUUUGUUGCAUCAAAUAAAUUGUGUUUUUUAAUAGGGAAAAAAUAUAUAAGAAAAUAAUCUUAUAAAAAUACAAUAUUUGCUUUAACAAUAUCUGUAUGUGCAAAUUGCAGAAUUUCUGAAGAUAUGUAUAUAUUAAGUGCUUAAUGGUUAAAAACUUCACAAAUCGACAAUAAAAGUGUCUCAUUUAUGAAAUCAUAUAAGCAAACAUUAAAUAAUAAGAGUACUUUAAAUAACAUGAAAAAUAAUUAAUAUAAUAAAUAUAAUAAUAUAUAAAUAUAAUAAAGAAUAAUAAAUAUAAAAUAUUUAAAGAAUGUUGAUAUGUUAAUUAUUAACAUAUUAUGGAUAGAUGAGAAUAUAUUUUGUAUUUUCUAAAUAUAAAUUGAGAAUAGUACUAUUCAGUAACAAGUGUUAAUAGUUACAGAUUUUACCUGAUUAACACUCAUUUUUUUAAUGUAUAUAGAAUAUAUCAAAUACUCGAUCCUCAAAGUAAAAUAAGAUAUAAAGAUUUUCCUUUCGAAGUGGGAAGAAAUUGGCUUAUUUCUAAAAAAAUAGACAAAUCAACAGAUUUAGGAAAAAUUGCAUCAGGUCAUUAAAAUAUUAUUAAUUACUCCAUGUAUAGAUCAUAGAUUAACAAUAUCGUUAAUUAUUCCGCAACAGAUUCACAGGAAAAUAAAUGAAACACUCUAUUUGCAAGCAUUGAGGUGUUUUGCUUGACUCACUUGAAUAAUAGUUUACUAAAUAUCAUAUUUUAAAAAAAAUUUUGGUAUGUAAAAUUUAUAUUGAAAACACAUAUUUAACAACCGAAAACAAAUAUUUAACAUGAUGAUGAUUUUUAACUACUAAUAAAUCAUAAGAAUUUUUAAAAUAUUUGAUGUAAAAAAAAAAGAUGUUUUCAAUUUUUGAUAAUUUCUGAUAAACAAAUUAUGAUAGAAAGUAUAAUUGGAAUUAUUUUAAAUAUUUUGCUGUUAAAAAUCACUCUAUAGUAUUAUUUAGAAUAAAAUAAAAUAAUUAGAAAGAGUAUAAUUAAAUAAUAAUAUUAACUCUUUAUUUAUUUAUAUAGUAAUGUCUUUGUAUGAUAGACUUUUGUACAUUUGUAUUAGUAGAUAUAAUAACACUGUGUAACUUAUAUAGGACUAAUAUGUAAUAUUCUCCUUCGGUUGCUGAUAAGUCAUCCUUUACCACUUCUAAUAAGAAGGGUCACCUUCUACAUUACUAAGGAUUGUAAUUAAACACCAUGUUCACAUUAAUGUUCCUAUAUGAUUUUUAAUUGCCAUUGAAUCAUUUCUCGCUAACAAGAUGAGAUUCUUUUUUUCUUCCUCAUAAAUAUCAGCCUACGUAUCAUGUAUACCGCACGCAUUAUUAUAUAUAUGUAUAGAUGCUAGUUUGAUCAAUCGAGUCAGAUUUUUUUCAAAAUUUUUUAAAGUAAAUAUUUUCGAAAAGUAUAUAGUUUAAGUUACAAUUUGAUAUAAAAUAUACUUUUGUUAAAGUUGUUCAUCAUCUCUAGCUUUAUAAGCCGUCAGCGGUUUACGUCAACAAUGAGAACAGGUGUAAUUCUUGAUCGAUUUUGAUGAAGAUCUCAUUUUAAAGACAAAGGUUAAAUCUAGGAAUCUACUUGAAUUUUUGAAAAAGCUUUAUUUUUUUUGAAAAAAAAUCGUGUUGAAAAAUGGUAUUUUUUCGAGAAUAGUUUAUUCACAAAUAUAAAGCAUCUUCAAAAAUUCAAAAAGUAGGAUUGAUAGAUUAAAUUUUCGUCUUUAAAAGGAGAUUUUGUUUAUCAAAAUCGAUUAAGAAUUAUGCCUAUUCUCAUCGCUAGCGUAAAUGCUAUUUUCGACAUUUUUCGCGGAAAAAAAAGGUAUAGUACUGUGGUAUCCCUCGAAAUUUGCGGCAAAAAAGCAGCUUAUAUCCUAACUACUGAUUUUCAUAUCGCGCUUGAAUGGUGUAUUUUGUUCUGUGAAGUAGUGAUUGUUUAUUUGUUUGUGUUUGUAAAUAAUUGAUGCUCAGAUUUUCUGAACAUUUCUAAACGCAAAGAAAUUUCGUAAAGAGUUUUCGCAAAGAGUUUUAUAAUGCUCGAAUGGAAACUAUAUUAACUUAUUUGAUCAUUUUAAUGAGCUUUGGGCAGAAAUACGUGUACAAUCAUUCAUGUUAAUGGAUCUGAAUUUUUUAAAUAUUGUUAAAUUUUGGAAAAAUUUGUAGUUCUUUUUAGAUUUUAUAGAUUAAAAAGAUAAAGAUUCUAACAUAAAGUAUAUACAUUUGUCGAUAAUUUUUUCAAAAUUAAUAAUUAGUGAACAUAUAUAUUAUUUCUAAUAAAGAUCAAAACACGAUUUCGUUUUCACAUUAUCUACAAGAUUUUUCUUCCAGCGUUACUUUAACGUUAUAGUUUUCUCUCUAGGAGUUUAGUUCAUAUUAUUACUAUUACCAUUACUAUUACUAUAAUGAUAAUAUGUAAUAUAAUAAUAUAAUAAUAUAAUAAUGAAAACAGUAAUAAGAAAAAUAUAUUUAUAUUAUGUACAUUAUGCCACAUAUGAUGAUGGUAAUUUAUGAUAAUAAAAGAAGAAAAAAUGCGUCAUUUUAUGUUAUGUCAUUAUCGCAUGAGCUUUCAACAAAUCGUAUCCUUGAUAAUUUCGACAUAUGAUCGCCCUUCGAUAGAUACGUCCUAUACAAACGAUCUAUGGUGAGUACGAAACGUUUCUUUUGUUUCAUCUGUUAUUGUUUCUCUUUGUCUUACUAUCUUAGAAUCGUAAUGUAUUUAUUUUCAUACUGUUUAAUAUGUAUAAAUUAUAUUUAAAUACAUUUUUAUUAUUAUAUUGUUAUAUUAUUAUUAUUAUUAUUAUUAUUAUUGUUGUUGUUGUUGUUGUUGUUGUUAUUGUUAUUAUUAUUGUUAUUGUUAUAUAAGUAUUCAUUAAUUGUUUUUAAGAAAACAAUUUGUUUUCGACAAAAUCUUACUUUUUAUCGCAAAUUUAUAUAUUACUUCUUAUAUAUUCAAUUAUUUUAAUUUUUUUCUUUCCAUUUAUCAUGAAAUAAAUGCGUCGUAUCACUACGCUGGAUCACUGCGAGAUGCAAUCACUAUUAAAAAAAAAUAUACAUACGAGAGACAGAAAAGUUCACAAAAUUUUCCAAAAUUAACAAUAUGUAAGAAAUUCAGAUCCAUUGACACGAAUGAUUGCACUCGUAUUUCCUAUUUUUACCAUUUUUUAUUUUUGUUCAAAGCUCAUUAAAAUGAUCAAGAGAGUUAUCGUAGUUUCCAUUCGAGCAUCGUAAAACACAUUUCUUUGCGUUUGGAAAUGUUCAGAAAAUCCGAACAUCAGUUAUUUACGCAUACAAACAAGCAGGCAAUCGCUACUUCACUGAACAAAAUACACGCCAUUACCAUUCAAGCGUGAUAUGAAAAUCAGUAGUUGGGAUACAAGAUUCUUUUUCUUCGCUGUAAGUUUUGAAGGACGUCACAAUCCAAAACUUUUUCUUCGAUGAGAACAGAAGUAAUUUUUGAAAAGUAAUACUCUCACUCAAUUUUAAUAAACAAGGUUUUCGUUUCAUUUUAAAAACGAAGGUUUAAUCUAGGACUCUACUUUUUGGAACUUCUAAAACAGUUUUUUAUUUGUACAUUAAUUAUUAUCGACUAAAUACUAUUUUUUAAUACUUAACAUUUUUUUUCAAGAAAAUAAAACUUUCAAAAAUUUAGAAAGUAGAUUCCUAUUAACGUUUGUCUUUAAAAUGAGAGCUUGUAAAUUAAAAUUAGUCAAGAAUUACGUCUAUUCUCAUUAAUAGCGUAAAUCGUUAUAAAACUAGGGGCAAUGAAUAGCUUUAAUCGUAGUUGGUCGUAUCAUGUUAUAUUCGAUUUAUGUAUAAAUGAUAUAUAUGCGGUUAUGCAUGUAUAGAUAAUACACACAUACAUCGUACAGCAUAUAUUUGAGUGUCAUAAACAUAAAUAUAUAUGUGUAUAUACGUGAUAAAUAUGGUACUAAUAUGUAAUAUACAUACGUAUAUAUCUAACACUCAUUAUAAAUAAAUAUAUAUACAUACAUACAUGUACAUAUGUAUACAAUAUAUUUAAGAUUUUUAAUCUCAAUUCAUCUCUUUUUCUCACUUUGACGAGCGUCUAUUUUUUGUUUGGGAUUGUUAUUGCCUAGCGCGUUGUACAAUAUACGUAAAUAAUUGAGAUAUGGAUUAAUAUGAAUCAGUGGUUCGAAAGAAAACUCUAGGAUUUGAAAGAUAAGAAAGGACGUUCUAUAAGUACUUGUUGUUGAUAAGAUAUUAGUAGUCUGCUUAUAUUAUCGUUUAAAAUUAUUUUAAAAACUUUCAGUAAAUUUCUAAACCUCGAUUUUAGAUAUACAAUCUUAUUUUAUAUUAAUAAAGCUUUCACGUUUUACAGGUUAUAGUAUAUAAAAUGCUACGAAUCGACCAAGUUCGCAAUACAGAGCACAGUAAAAAUCGUGUGUUAUGUUUCUUUUUGUAUGUAUCCCAGGAAAUGAUAUGUUCUUGAAAAUUUGUUUUUGUGUAUACGAAUUCACGAAAUUGUAGCAGAGAUGGAUAUAGGUGACCUCUCCUUCUCAAAAUAAUACGAUACCUAUAAACGAUAAACACACUCGGCUAUUCUCCUGUGUGGAGAUUAUGAUUGCAGUUGUUCUUACAACCAUAGAUAUAUCGAUCUUUAUGUCGAUAAAAUAAAAGAAGAUUUGUAAAGUAGAUUUGUUGUUAAUAUUGUUCCGAUUAAUUUAAAUUUGUUUGUGUUUUAUGAUUUUAAAUAUCUUUUAGGAGUAUGUGCAUAUGAAUAAUCUGCGUGCAAAGCAAUCAUAGAAUCAAUGUUUAUUGGUAUAAAAUUUUAUUUAUUCUUUUUUCUUAUAGUUAGGUUAUAGAUACUUAUAUAUAGAACAAAAAAUAGAUACUCGCGAAUUAAUUGCAUUGUUUGCUUCAUAAUUAUUAAAUAAUUAUCGUAUUAAUGCAUCAUGGAAGAUAAUGAAGAAUCUAGUACACUUAUUUUAUCAAACAAUAGUAAUAAAUCAUCAUUGUAUUAUCGUUAAGUCAAUAUCAAUAUUAUGAAUUCAAUCUAAUAAAUUUUCAAUCUAUAUCAUAAAAUAAAAUAAAUUUGGAACCUAUCAUGGAUCAGUUUAUAUAAAUUUCGAUUUACAACAUGAGCGAGUUUUGGAAUCAUAGUAGAUCAGUAGUGAAUGAACAUAUUUAAGUCCCUCCAGUACUUAUCACGUCGAGGAUAAAAGAUUCGACUUAACGCGAGUUAUUGGUUGUAAUCUUUUCAAUAAAUUAUUGAUGAAUAUAAUUAUUAGUCAUUGCUUUUUUGGAUAUUAUCCAAUUAUUAUUAGAGCAAUACACUUUUAAUAGUGUUUUCAUAUUUUUUUUUAUUAUGUAUAUUUAUUUUUUUUAACUCAGUAUGGAGUCUUUUUUGUUUUAUCGAUUCAGAUCCUUUAAUUAAUAGUACAUUUAAUUAAUAUAUUUAUUCGCAUUUGCCCACGAUAUUAGUAGUGAAAUUUGCCAUUUAUUUAUGCGAUAUCAUUAAAAAAGUACGCUAUAUUUAUUGUUUCCUACUUAUAAUUAUCAACUUAAUCGCUGUUUUCACAUUUUCAAUGUUUUCUGCAGCUCGUACUAUAGGAGCAACAUCAAUUGAUUUUUUCUUUAUUGCAAAAGCACUCCGUCAAAAAUAUCGAAUCCAUAUGUUUUACGGCGAAGAACCAUGAUGCGGAAUUUGAAAAUGUAUUCGUAAUAAUUGCUGUGUUUUAAUAACCAAUUUACUAUUCUUAAGAAACAUUUUUAUUAUCACUGUACAAUGUUGUUCGUUUUAUUGUCUCAUGCUUAUUGAAAUGACAUCAAAGAAGUUAUCUCCUCUUUUAAACUUUAUAAUAUUGAUUGACACAAUUGACGGUAUUCGACAAUAAAAAGUCAUGUGAUUCCUAUAUCCCACUCUGUAAUACUAUCUACUAAUAUUUAUAUUAAAAGUAGUUACUUAUAUUGAAGAAAAAUAUUGAAUAAUUUUUAAUAUUUAAUUAUUAUAAUGAUAAUGGAUAGAAUAAUACUCGUAUCUUAUUAUAAUAUUUGCUUUUAUACUGGUGCAUACUAAUAUUUAUUUAUAUAUAUUUAAAGUAGAACUUUCCGCAAUGAUCGUUAACAUCAACAGUCAAUUUUAGCAAAUUCAUACGUAACUUUAAUUAGUUACGAAUUAUUACUGCAAGCUAAGAUAUCGAAGCAUAUUCUCUAAUAUAGAAAGUUUUUGUAUUCUGACGAUGCUUUAAAAAUUGUGGAAUAUACGUUUAUAUGUUGAAAUUAAUAUUUUGCUAUUUUUUAAAUAUAAGAAUAGGUAGACAGAUAUCAUACUUUUCUAUGUGAUUGUAAUACUAAUUUAAUUUUAAUUCUAAACAGAUAUGGCCGGUAAGACGCAGGUUGUAAUUACACAUUCCUAUCUUCAGGAAUAUGCAAUUUCAGUAAAUUUUAGAAUUUUUCAGUAUGCUCGUUUUUUUUUCAUAUUUUGCUAAUAUGUAAUAUUAAACAGUUUAAAAGCUCUUGAAUUUGUUAAAAAAUUUAUUUCUAUAAAUCUGAACAAAUUUGUAAAUGUAUCCCAUCCUUAUUGUUAAAUAUAUUAACAUUUCGCACUAUUGUCUUGUUUAGAAUAUGUAACUAUUUAUAUAUGUAUAAUAAUGUAAAAAUAAUAGAAGUAUUAAAGUAAAAUAGUAUAGUCAUGAGAUGCGAAGAGUUAAUAAUAAAUUUUUCGAUUGGAUUGAAUAUCAUCUGAGGAAUUCGAGUAAAUCAGUAUAUAUAAAUGGGUAUAAUGGAUUUUUUCGUUUUAUUUAUCGUUGAGAAACUAGGAUAGUUUAUUGAAUAUAUAAUAGCUUUUUAUUUUUAGUUUCUUGUUCUUUUUUUUUUUUUUU